GGUAACCUGCCCAUAAGACUGGGAUAACAUUCGGAAACGAAUGCUAAUACCGGAUACGCGAAACGGUCGCAUGGCCGAAUCGGGAAAGGCGGAGCAAUCUGCCACUUAUGGAUGGACCCGCGGCGCAUUAGCUAGUUGGUGGGGUAACGGCUCACCAAGGCGACGAUGCGUAGCCGACCUGAGAGGGUGAUCGGCCACACUGGGACUGAGACACGGCCCAGACUCCUACGGGAGGCAGCAGUAGGGAAUCUUCCGCAAUGGACGAAAGUCUGACGGAGCAACGCCGCGUGAGUGAUGAAGGUUUUCGGAUCGUAAAGCUCUGUUGCCAGGGAAGAACGCUUACGAGAGUAACUGCUCGUAAGGUGACGGUACCUGAGAAGAAAGCCCCGGCUAACUACGUGCCAGCAGCCGCGGUAAUACGUAGGGGGCAAGCGUUGUCCGGAAUUAUUGGGCGUAAAGCGCGCGCAGGCGGCCUUGUAAGUCUGUCGUUUAAACUCGGAGCUCAACUUCGAGUCGCGAUGGAAACUGCAAAGCUUGAGUGCAGAAGAGGAAAGUGGAAUUCCACGUGUAGCGGUGAAAUGCGUAAAGAUGUGGAGGAACACCAGUGGCGAAAGCGACUUUCUGGGCUGUAACUGACUCUGAGGC
rnacentral:rRNA from 1 species